ensembl:lncRNA
UUUUUUCACAGAUUAUCUGUCUCAUGUACUACUGUCAGGAUAUAGUGAAGGUUUCAGCACAACAUUUUUUAUAAAAGUUACCUACUGCAGCUUUAAGGUUGUGUUCCACACAUAAUAAGCUAUACAGGGUUAGGGUAAUAAGCCUUCAGUCUACACCUUUUUCAUUGCUAUAGUUUGCAGCACUUGGGUACAUCUCUGUUUUCAGUUUUUGUCAUUUUAUUUGAGUGAUCUUAGACUUCAGUAAAAAUCGAAGAAUCAAUCAAUCGAUCAAUCAAUAAGAUAAAGCAAGGUCAUAUGCAAAACGAGAUGGGAUUAUCUGCUGGUAGAUUACAGAAAAAUAUAAGCACAAAUACAUAGAGAAGAGCAAAUACAGUGUUGCCUAUGAAUCAGCAUAUAACCUACACAGUACAAAAUCCACUAGAAAAUAGACUUAUACCAUCCUUCAAAAGCCAGUCAGUCUUAGCAUGUGUCAGCGCGCAGUUGUUCCUAAAGGAAGUCUAGACUGUCCUAAUUAAAUCAGGCUUUUAUUUUGAAAAUUCCAAUCGGCAGCCUGCUGUGUUGUUGUAGUUGACUUGACAGAAGUGAAGAAGUUUACAGCAGUCGGCGGAUCUGAGUGAAUGACAGUCGGGUGUACGUGCGUGUCUGUUCCAACAGUUGGUGUUUGGUGCUGGAUUCACAGACAGCACAGGAGAGAGUUUCUUCCAGCAGGACCGCGUCCGACCAGGUGGCAUUCAGGGGCCAGGACACCGGAGGAAGAAAGUUAAACUCUUCUGUCUCAAUGGUCAUCUUGUAAGUACAUCAGUCCAUUUGUUCCUCUCAUAAAAACAAGAGUUUCUGAAUGUUUCAAUCGCCUGCAGCCAAGAGGACAUAGUGUACAUUACUGAGCAGCAUGGCCCGUUGAUCACAGCAGGAAGGGGGGAUAUGGGCCUUUUCCUUCCCUGGGGUCAGCCAGACAUGAGCUGACCUUCUACAAGGCCUCGCUCUGUUUUGCUGGUUCACGUCCACCAGUCAGCGGUAACCAUUUGUCAAUGACAUCAUGUGUAGCUAUGAUGAGGUGAAUCAACAACAGACCCUGGCCGUGCGGACAAUGGCUAACUUGACAUUCCUCGCCAUGGUAACAGCUUUGUGUUUAGUUUGUGUGUUUCUUUUGUGUUUAUAGAGAUUAUCGUUUUUGAUUUUAUAUUAGUUGUUAUUUUUAAGUAGUUCUGGCCUCCCCUUGUUAUUUUACUUCCAGUCUUUUAGUGUGGUUUUGGUAGUAUUACUUUUGCAAAUGUUUACUUAAAGUUAUGGCCCCAUUCUAGUUUCUGUAUUUUUAGUAGGGGUCAUAUAUUUUUACGAUAUAAUGAAAGAACCUCAGAUCAUGAAGUCUUUUUAAAAAUAGAUGUAUCCACAUAAGUUCCACAUUCAGUUUUAUACCCAGACAUCAUUCUAUAGUUUUGUCCUGCUUACACAAAAAGUAAAAAAACAUUUAAUGUAAAUUUUAUCCUGUAUUUUAAUUUUUAGAAACUCGCCAAGUUUUUUCACCUCCUGAAAUUGCCAAUAACAAAACCAGCUGCUCAAAACUCUCCUAAGAAGCUGUGGUUCCCCAACCUAGGGAUCGGACAUCCACCUAGGGGUCACAAGAUAAAUGUGAGCCAUGGUAAGACGAUUAAUGGGAUAAAAAAAAAGAAAAAUGACGUUUUGCUACACAAUUUUUUUGGGGGGGAUUUUCUCUAAUCUUAGCUUUUUGUAAAAUAUUGGAUUCUUUUUUACUCUGCACGGGGGUAGACACUGUGUUUUUUGUAAGAUGUCAUAAGCCAAAAAGGUGACAAAAUUUUUAUCUGAAAGGUAACCAGUAACUAUAGCUGUCAGAUAAAGUAGUGAACCGUGCAAUGUCUCCCUUUGUAAUGUAGUGGAAUAUAAAGUAAUCAUGAAAUGGAAUUACUACAAGGACCUCAAAAUUGUAAAGUACAGUUGAGUAAAUGUACUUUUAACCAGUAGUUAACGAGAAAGCCGCGCUGACGUUGAUUGUCUUAGCUUAGCUUAGCAUAAUGAUUGGAAACGGAAGAAAACAUCUAGCGUGGCUCUGUCUAAAACACACCUACCUCCAACACAUUCAUACAAAACCCAAAAUCUAAUUUUACCACAAGUAGAUUUUUCCUGCAUGUAACCACAAAGCUUUGGACAGAGCCUGGCUAGCUGGUUCCUCCUCUUUCCAGUCUUUAUGCUAAGCUAAGAUAAGCUAAGCUAAACUAACCUAAUGGACGUUCGGCUUGAGAGUAGUAUUGAUUUUCUUGUGUAACUCUCAACUAGAAAGCGAUUUAAGCACAGUCCCAAAAUGACUAACUAUUUCUUUAAUGACCGACUGGCAUCUCAGCACUGUAGCCGUAUAUCAGUAUUGC